GGGAAGGUGGUAUUUAAGGGGGGGGGGUUAAAUUCCAGAAUUUGAGCUCUGUUGGAUGUUGGAAAUGUAUCCCAUGAAGCUUUAGAGACUUAUUUACUGAGUCAAAGUUUUAAAAAGGUAAACACUUUACUUCCUCAGGUGGAUUAUGUUGAUAACCAUGGACAAUAAAUGCAUUACUGAAUGCACAUGCAGAGAGAGGUUUAGACUUUAUAAUCCAAACUGAAUUAAAAAGACAAAAUUUAAAACACCAAAGAUUGUAAAGAAUUGUACCCUGAUAAGUGACUGGUCCUGCAGGGUACAAAUUCUCACAUGGGACACUAUUAUUCUGCAGGAAGGAAUCAAAUGUGGGAAUCAACCACUGAAAAACAUGGUAACUAUGAAGAAUUGAAAAUUCACAAAAAUUCUUCUAUGAAUUUUAAUUUUCAGUCACAUAUACUGUACAUAUAAUUUUAUAUUACAGCAAUCAAAUAAUAAAUGACACAUGUGAACAAGUGUUUUAUAAA